UCCGAAGGCCUCGGGGCAACCCGGGCUCCCUGGCCGGGCCCUGUCGCCCCAGCCCCGCGGGGCCCGGGCCGGGGGUCCCCGCGCUGUCCGGCGACCGGCCGGGGCGUGUGGGAGACUGGCCGCCGGGGCCGGCGAAAUAUGUCGAAUAGUAUUAUUUAAGAGAUGUCCCAGCAAAACAGGAAGUUCUUGUGCACAGGAGUCUCCUGAAGAGCAAGUUCCUGAAAGGGACCACACAGAUGCUUCAAAAUGUUGUGCUGUAAAGAGGAAUGGAGACGAUUUCUACAUACUAGUACGGCGUGAUCUGCAGAAUAUUUUGAAAAAAGCAAG